GAAAAUCAAUUUUAAAUCCCCAAUCGUUCAUGUUUAUUAACCCUACCUGCUGAAGAAGAUAAGUGCGCUUGAGCUUGCCCUUUUGCCGACCAAACUUAAACGAAUUUAGGGCUCUUUCCAACCCAUUUUUUGUUUGAUUGGGAAAAAGGGAAAAGGCACACAACGAGGCGAUGAAAGAUACACGAAGGAAAGCACGAGGCAGAAUCAUUGGGGAAAAAGGAAUUUGAUCCUCGCCUGAUCGAGAAGGAGAACCACGGUUGAGAACGGCCGCAAGGUCUAUUAAUGGUCCAGUGGCCGAAUUCGUCAGUGGCCAAAUUCACAAGGAGGGGCGAGCAACACAAGAGGUCGUCGCCUCUUGUCUUUCAUCGGGAAGAGAAAUUGCUGUCUCUCGGUGUUUGGAGGAGGACGACGAUAGGAUUGUAAGAAAGAUUUCCACACCUUUUGUAGCUCCAUGCCUGAAUUCAACGUCGUGGGUUCAUGUAAUGACUUGUUAUGCUUGUCUGAUUCGCUUUACGGUGAACCCGUUUACGUUUUCAACCCGUUUUCUCGGGAUUAUUUGUAGCUUAGGAAGUCCAAGCAGUUUCAAGAAUAGGUCGAAGAAACUGAGGCAAAUUAAACAUUUUUUUCACCUGAAUCGCAUGUGAAAUUCUUCCUCCAUCUAUUCGAAUUUCUAAAAUCUAAAUGAUAACAACUUUUAUUUUAAAUUCAUUGUCAAUUUGGCAUUUUUCUGGUAUCAGUUUUCUCGCAUGAAGCUGCAAUUGACUUCGUAAUUUGCUAUUCCUCUUACAUAUUUAGGUGGUCAAAAUUUGGGCUAAAUUGUGUUAAUGAGAAUUGCUCAAUUCAACAAAGUUUUCAAUGCCUAUUAGGUGUUCGAUGAAAUGCUUGAUAGGUGUUUUUGACCAAUGGUUGCUCAACGACCAUAUACAUGGACUGCUAUUUCUAUGUCGAUGAUGUGGGGGUAUUUGACAUCAGUAGCUUUAAUUUUUGUUGCAUAUGGUGAAAUUUAUGAAGGUGAAGAUGACCUUCUUUAACCUUUUCUUGCUGGACUUAGGUAAGGUAUUUUAUUAAUUGGGUUCUUUGAACAAUCAUGACUAAUUUUCUAUAAUAUUUGCUCAAUUUAUUAUUGUUGAUUUCGAUUGGUUUAAUUGGUUUUAGUUAUGCGAAGAAGUGCACGACAAGUGUCUAUUCAUGUAUCAUAGUUUUCGACAUGCCUAGCUUAAAGAAUGGCCAUGAAAUAAAUUUAUGUUACUUCAUCUCACGAAAAUUGAGUAUGUAAUUGUGGUGUUGAUUUGUAACUUACAGGUAAACCAAUGAAGAAUCACAUGAAAAGAAAAUAUAUGCAAUAUUCUUUCAGAAUCAAUAUUUUAGCAUAUUCUUUUAGAAUGAGGAAGAUCAAUAAUUACAUUGUAGAAGAUUUCGAAUCAAGUCGAUUAUUUGGACCAUUGAAAAAGAACAAGCGUAUCUGUUCAAGAAUCAUAUAUUUGAGAAUGAUAUUUUUUAAGAAUUUUAUGCAUUUUAAUGAUAUUCUGUUAGAAUAUGUAUAAUUAUAUUAAAAUGUAUCAGAUUAAUAGUCUGUAAGAAUAUUUAUGAACUUGUAAUUAAGUUCGGAUGUAUAUGAAUAUGUAAGAAUGUUGUUAUUAUUCAACUGCAUGUUUAAGAAUUUUGACAAAA
rnacentral:lncRNA from 1 species